CCCGCGGAAUAAUCUAUAGCUCCAUAUGGGCACUCUUCGGCCCUUUAAGGCGUAGUGAUAUCGGAGCCUACAAAGCCGGCUGCAGAGCACCUCCCUCUCCAGUUCCUGAAUUGGCCACUGUGAAGGGACUGAUGACAUUGAGAGAUAAAGAAGACAGAAGACAAGCCACAGCAGCCUAGAAUCUCAUCUAAAAGUUUAGCCUCCACGCUGUUAGCGAGAGGGUCUGAAGGGCAUGGUAUAGGACCAGACCCCAUCUCUCGUGAGGCAGUCCUGUCAAGGUGGAAGGUGAAGGUUUGGACGGAAAACAGAUAGCAGCCAGAGUUGUAGUUUCUGCAUCCUCAAGCAAGCAUUUGUCACAGUCGUGGUUAAUGAAGCCAUGAGGCCCAGCAUAUGUUGGACUGACCAAGCCCACUGCUUGAGGGAAGACUGGAAAGCAAUCACCAUGGAGAAAAUGGCCUGGAGUAUGCUUCUGUCAUUUGCAUUUUCCUACAUAACUCCUGGCUUCAUUAACUGAAAAAUGAACUCUCAUUUUCAAAGUGCUUCUAGCAUGCUUCCUACAGGUGCUUUUAGUUGUUUCAGGUUGAUGAAACAACUUUCUUCAGAUCUACCCACCUUAGUACCACCAUCAUUAAACAGCUAUUAAUAAGAGAAUAAAAAUUACAGGUCAAGAAAGCAAGAUAUACCUGAAAGACCCUGAUUGGGAGACUUCAUUCGAUGUUUUUCAACUUUACUUCCAGCCAAGUUUACCAACUGAGCCCAGACAGACAGCAUGGGUUCAGUG